UCUAAAUCUUGAACUUCAUAAUGGAAAAGUCCCAGUUCUGUGCCAGCCGACAUCCAGUAUCUCCUCAUUCCUCUUAUUCAAAUGUCCCAAUAUCCUAAACCUUCGACAGCUGCGAGUGUCGAGCUUCUCUGAACAGUGCCGAUAUACUCAGAAACUACUGCUGUGAUCAUGACUGGACCGGUCUGGGUCUGACUGACCUCUAGGAAGAUCGGGUGCAAGAAGAGGCCAACAUGUUCCCAUUAACGUGGGCUGCAAAACAAACACAGAGUGCCAGAAGGCUGCUGAGAGGACACUGAAGCUGCUGCAGAUCAAGAUGAAUGACCAACACCAGAUUUCUGAAGUUGGCCGGCCGAAUCUUCAUCUCUGCAAAUUCAAUCGAGUGUUCGUGGCCCUUCCAGUGGAACCAGUUGAUCCCCUGCAGCAGAAAUACAGAGCACAGAUCAUCAGACAGAGAUAUACUGGAUCUAAACCAACAACCAACAGACGGACAUGGAGGGAAUCCUCCUGCAAAAAAAUCACAUUUGUUUCUUUAUUACACCAAAGAUGAGAGAUAAACAUCUGCAUAGACAUCAUAAAUGUUGGAGAGAGUGGAUCAUUUCACUCCUUUUCUUUUAGAAAUUAUCUUUGAGAUUUGGACAAAUGAAGACAUUUGAGGACGUCAUCUUGGGCUUUGGGAAACACCGAUCAACAUUUUUCACCGCUUUCUGACAUUUCAUAAACCAAACAACUAAUCCAUUAAUCGAGGAAAUAAUCAACAAUUGGGAAACCUAAUUUUGGGAAACUGAAUGUAAAGUGUGACAAAAAAUACUAGGAUAUAAGAUCCCCAUGAUCCAACCAAGUAUGGUACUUUUAAAUAUUUGGUCAAAAUACUGUUAAUAGCAAGUAAGAAAGCCAUUAGGACGAACUGGGGGACGUUAGCUCCCUGUAAAAGGAUCAAUGGCUUUUAAUUGUUGGAGAAAUCUUUGUAAAUGUAAAAAAACUGACACAUAACUUUAGACUACAAGAAGCACAACUUACGUUACUAACAUACAAGACUCCAGAUGUCGAUAUCAGAACAGAGCUGCCCUUCAACAGGACCGUAUGUCAAUGAACUUCACAGAAAGGUUUUUGGUCUGUUUCUUACUUUCACUGUUUAAUGUCGACAAUCAGUCAUCUUAACAACGGACGUAGUCACACGUGCAUCUUUACGCUGACUUCGCCGUCGCUAGCUCUCCCCGUCAGCUCCAUAUGUCCAUAAAUGUCAGUAUAUACAUGGUGCUCUACAAUCUUAGCAUCAGCUCGGCUGGUUUGA